GAUGAAGGUAAAACUGUAAAACACUUUUUUUUGAGAAUAAGAAAUUUUAACUAAUAAUUAAUGUUUUUGAAUGUAUCAAAAGAAUAAGUACCGGCUAAUCACGUGCCAGCAGCCGCGGUAAUACGUGAGGUGCAAGCGUUAAUCAAAAUUAUUGGGCGUAAAGUGUGCUAAGGUGGUUUAAAAAGAUCUAUAUUAAAUAUUUAAAUUCAAUUUAAAAAAGGUAUGUAUUACUUUUAAACUUGAGUUCAACAUGGGAAAAUAGAAUUUUAUGUGUAGCGGUGAAAUGCGUCGAUAUAUAAAGGAAUGCCGAAAGCGAAAGCAUUUUUCUUGGUUGUAACUGACAUUUAUGCACGAAAGCGUGGGUAGCAAACAGGAUUAGAUACCCUGGUAGUCCACGCCCUAAACUAUGUCGAUUAACUAUUAGAUUUUUUUAGUAGUGUAGCUAACGCGUUAAAUCGACCGCCUGGGGAUUACGAUCGCAAGAUUAAAACUCAAAGGAAUUGACGGGGACCAGCACAAGCGGUGGAUGAUGUGGAUUAAUUCGAUGAUACGCGAAAAACCUUACCUACUCUUGACAUAAUUAGAAUUUUAUCGAAAGAUAAAAGUGCUUGAAAAAGAACUAAUAUACAGGUGUUGCAUGGCUGUCGUCAGCUCGUGUCGUGAGAUGUUGGGUUAAGUCCCGCAACGAGCGUAACCCCCACUCUUAGUUGCUAAUUAUAGAACUUUAAGAGAACUGCUAACGAUAAGUUUUAGAGGAAGGAGGGGAUGACUUCAAGUCCUCAUGGCCCUUAUGAGUAGGGCUUCACACGUCAUACAAUGGUUGAUACAAAAAGUUGCAAAAUUGUGAGAUUGAGCUAAUCUUGAAAAUCAAUCUCAGUUCGGAUUGUACUCUGCAACUCGAGUACAUGAAGCAGGAAUCGCUAGUAAUCGCAAAUCAGCGUGUUGCGGUGAAUACGUUAACUGGUCUUGUACACACCGCCCGUCACACCAUGGAAAUAAGUUUUAUUUAAAAUGAAAAUACUUGACUCUUAAAAAGAAAGUUUUUAUUAUAAUAAAAU
rnacentral:rRNA from 1 species